rnacentral:tRNA from 1 species
AAGACUUUAAGUUAAAUAAACUAAUAUCCUUCAAAGUUAUAAAUAAAGUAUCACCUUUCUUUAAGUCUUA